CCUACGGGAGGCAGCAGUGAGGAAUAUUGGUCAAUGGGCGCGAGCCUGAACCAGCCAAGUAGCGUGAAGGAUGACUGCCCUACGGGUUGUAAACUUCUUUUAUAAAAGAAUAAAGUGAGGCACGUGUGCCUUUUUGUAUGUACUUGAUGAAUAAGGAUCGGCUAACUCCGUGCCAGCAGCAGCGGUAAUACGGAGGAUCCGAGCGUUAGUCGGAUUUAUGGGGUUUAAAGGGAGCGUAGAUGGGUUGUUAAGUCAGUUGAGAAAGUUUGCGGCUCAACCGUAAAAUUGCAAUUGAUACUGGCAGUCUUGAGGACAGUUGAGGUAGGCGGAAUUCGUGGUGUAGCGGGGAAAUGCUUAGAUAUCACGAAGAACUCCGAUUGCGAAGGCAGCUUACUAAACUGCCACUGACAUUGAUGCUCGAAAGUGUGGGUAUCAAACAGGAUUAGAUACCCGAGUAGUC
rnacentral:rRNA from 1 species